rnacentral:rRNA from 1 species
AUACAGGAAGCACCGCCUAACUCCGUGCUACCAGCGGGGGUAAUACGGAGGGUCCAAUCUUUAAUGGGAAUUACUGGGUGUAAAGCGUGCGUAGGCGGUUUACUAAGUCAGAUGUGAAAGCCCCGGGCUUAACCUGGGAAAUGCAUUUGAUAGUGGUAGGCUAGAGUUUGAUAGAGGGGGGUAGAAUUCCUGGUGUAGCGGUGAAAUGCGUAGAUAUCAGGAGGAAUACCAGUGGCGAAGGCGGCCCCCUGGAUCAAUACUGACGCUGAGGUACGAAAGCGUGGGUAGCGAACAGGAUUAGAUACCCUGGUAGUCCACGCCGUAAACGAUGUCAACUAGCCGUUGGAGUCUUGAGACUUCGGUGGCGCAGCUAACGCGUGAAGUUGACCGCCUGGGGACUACGGCCGCAAGGCUAAAACUCAAAUGAAUUGACGGA